CAAACACAAUCCUCUGAGAGAAGCCUCUAAUCUUCAAGGACCUUGUGGCUCGCCUGGCACAGGCUGGGUGGGAGAAAUCCUAUACCUUUUCCCUCUCUCUUCUCCUUGAUUUCUUCCCUAUAUAUUGAUUAAACCAUCAUAUAUUUCCAAACUGACUUGGGUAUUUUAUUGGGGAUAUCCCCUGGUGACCAAAAAUCAGAUUUAGAUUAGGUCACAACCCUAAAUUAUCCUUACAUAUCCCUGGUCCCCUUAUCUCACCACCAUUUACACCCUGACAAUCCUCAAUUUGGAUCUCUCUCAUUAUUCACCUUCUUUGAUCCUUCUUCCCAUACUACUAAGUGUCAAUGGAAGAAGUAACACUACCUUUCCACUGUGUUCUACUGGAAAUAUGUUAUUUAAUGUCGAUUGGGCCCACCUUGCUCUACCUCAAUCCUUUUAUUUUUUGCUAGUUGACAUUUUUCAUUCUUUAAAGCUUCUGCUCCAAGCCUUCUCUCUCCUGUAGCUUCUUAUACAUUUCAGAUUCUUGUGAGCAACAAUUAGAACCAAGAAGCUGGACCGUUAGCCUAGUUGUUGGCAUGGGAGGUCAAGUAUGCUUUUCUCCUCUAAGUUUCAGAAACUGGUAUUCCCUUGCCUUGUACCCUAUAGUCUUUUGCCAGUCUAUACCUCCAAACAACAUGGUGGAGAAGUGAUCCCAAAAAAGGGUAGAAGAUCAGAGUUGCUGACCCACCCUCUCCUCUUUUAAACUCUAUAACCAGAGGAGUUGCCCACUGUAAGGAUCACCUGCUUCUCAUCUCCCUUAUGGUCCUCAAACCAUAAAGUAUGAAAACUGCUAUCUCCAUAGAGAUGUGAGCCAAUGACUACACUUCUUAUCUUUCCCAGGGUUCACUGUCUUCCUCUAUAAGCCCAAUGGGGGCAUAGGUUGAGCUCUCUGGAGAAUGAUCCUCUACACCCCUUGACUUAAUUUGUCCAUAGUGCUAGGAUUACAUGUUAAAGCUCUGCCUACUUGCCUCAACUCCCAUUUUUAUGGAGCAAAUCAUCCAUCAUGAAUUUCUUCAUCUCUCUUCCUUUGCAGCUUAAAAUCACUAUAUAUCCUCACCUGUAUUUUCCUUUGUUUCUGUGUAGCUCUUUGUCAAGUCUAACUCCACAAGUCAAUCAACCAAAGAGAAUUUGUUAAGUACCUACUUUGUACUAAUCACUAGGGAUUCAAGAUCAAAGAAUGAAACAAUUCUUAUUCUCAAAUAUAAGCUCUUUUAAAUUGGAGCACAGUUCAUUGGAAAGUGUUUCGGAAGUUAGAAGAUCUAGGUUCAAAAACCACUUUAGACACUUAUUAGCUGUAUAAUUUGAGUCAUAUUCUCAAAUGGGAAGCAUUUUAUAUAGGGAAGUACCAUCCAGCUCUUAAGCUAUGACCUAUGCUUCUAUAGUGAUUUGAAGCAUAAUUUUACUACAUAUAAUUUUCACUUCAUCAUAUCCCCUCCAAUCUCCUCUGGAAUCUUGCCCCAGUGAUCAUUCUCUUCCUCUUCUUCAUGUUUAAACUUUCACUUACACUGGCUCCUUCCUUUCCUGUUGUCCAUAUCUCCCUGGUCUUUGAGGAAGAAAAAACAAACAAGCAAACAAACAAACCAACCUUCACUUGCCGGUGCUUUCUCCUUAAGCUAUUGUUCUAGAUUUCUCUUUCCUGUCAAUGUGUAACUCCUAGAAAGAAAUGUCUCUUUUUACUACUCCCCUUUCCUUUUUACCCACUG
ensembl:lncRNA